CGCUGGCGGCGUGCUUAACACAUGCAAGUCGAACGGUGAAACAGAGCUUGCUCUGUGGAUCAGUGGCGAACGGGUGAGUAACACGUGAGCAACCUGCCCUGGACUCUGGGAUAAGCGCUGGAAACGGCGUCUAAUACUGGAUAUGAGAUGCGAUCGCAUGGUCGUGUUUGGAAAGAUUUUUCGGUCUGGGAUGGGCUCGCGGCCUAUCAGCUUGUUGGUGAGGUAAUGGCUCUUUAAGGCGUCGACGGGUAGCCGGCCUGAGAGGGUGACCGGCCACACUGGGACUGAGACACGGCCCAGACUCCUACGGGAGGCAGCAGUGGGGAAUAUUGCACAAUGGGCGAAAGCCUGAUGCAGCAACGCCGCGUGAGGGAUGACGGCCUUCGGGUUGUAAACCUCUUUUGGUAGGGAAGAAGCCUUCGGGUGACGGUACCUGCAGAAAAAGCGCCGGCUAACUACGUGCCAGCAGCCGCGGUAAUACGUAGGGCGCAAGCGUUAUCCGGAAUUCUUGGGCGUAAAGAGCUCGUAGGCGGUCUGUCGCGUCUGCUGUGAAAUCCCGAGGCUCAACCUCGGGCUUGCAGUGGGUACGGGCAGACUAGAGUGCGGUAGGGGAGAUUGGAAUUCCUGGUGUAGCGGUGGAAUGCGCAGAUAUCAGGAGGAACACCGAUGGCGAAGGCAGAUCUCUGGGCCGUUACUGACGCUGAGGAGCGAAAGGGUGGGGAGCAAACAGGCUUAGAUACCCUGGUAGUCCACCCCGUAAACGUUGGA
rnacentral:rRNA from 1 species